ACUCCUACGGGAGGCAGCAGUGGGGAAUAUUGCACAAUGGGCGCAAGCCUGAUGCAGCAACGCCGUGUGAGUGAAGAAGGUUUUCGGAUCGUAAACUCUGUCCUAAGGGAAGAAACAAAUGACGGUACCUUAGGAGGAAGCCCCGGCUAACUACGUGCCAGCAGCCGCGGUAAUACGUAGGGGCAAGCGUUAUCCGGAAUCACUGGGCGUAAAGGGUGCGUAGGCGGCUUAGCAAGCCAGGGUGAAAGGCAUUGGCUCAACCAAUGUAAGCCUUUGGAACUGUUAAGCUUGAGUGCAGGAGAGGUAAGUGGAAUUCCUAGUGUAGAGGUGAAAUUCGUAGAUAUUAGGAGGAACACCAGUGGCGAAGGCGACUUACUGGACUGUAACUGACGCUGAUGCACGAAAGCGUGGGUAGCGAACAGGAUUAGAU
rnacentral:rRNA from 1 species